rnacentral:lncRNA from 1 species
AUAUAAUUUAUAACAAGAAUGUGUCCUAAGUACACGGAUGCCCCACUCGCCUAUCAUUUUCCAUGUUCAAUGGACCGUGAAAUUGGGUAAAAAAUCUAAUUUGGCAUUAAAAUUAGAAAGAUCAUACCAUAUAGGGAACAUGUGUACUAAGUUUCAAGUUGUUUGGUCUUCAACUUCAUCAAAAACUACCUUGACCAAAAACUUUAACCUGAAACUCCCACUUUCAUUUUUUAUGUUCAGUGGACCGUGAAAUUAGGGCCAAAAGUCUAAUUUGGCUUUAAAAUUAGAAAAAUCAUAUCAUAAGCAACAAGAGUACUAAGUUUCAAGUUGAUUGGA